AUCCAGCCGAAGAGUCCGAAAUAGGACGAAACGUACAUCCUGGAU
rnacentral:hammerhead_ribozyme from 1 species